rnacentral:piRNA from 1 species
UUGCAUCAAAUUAAGAUACACAAAUGGCCA